rnacentral:rRNA from 1 species
GACGAACGCUGGCGGCGUGCUUAACACAUGCAAGUCGAACGGAAAGGCCCUGCUUUUGUGGGGUGCUCGAGUGGCGAACGGGUGAGUAACACGUGAGUAACCUGCCCUUGACUUUGGGAUAACUUCAGGAAACUGGGGCUAAUACCGGAUAGGAGCUCCUGCUGCAUGGUGGGGGUUGGAAAGUUUCGGCGGUUGGGGAUGGACUCGCGGCUUAUCAGCUUGUUGGUGGGGUAGUGGCUUACCAAGGCUUUGACGGGUAGCCGGCCUGAGAGGGUGACCGGGCACAAUGGGACUGAGGUACGGACCAGACUCCUACGGGAGGCAGUAGGGGGGAAUAUUGCACAAUGGGGGGGAGCGUGAUGCAGAGACGCCGCGUGCGGGAUGACGGCCUUCGGGUUGUAAACCGCUUUCGCCUGUGACGAAGCGUGAGUGACGGUAAUGAGUAAAGAAGCACCGGCUAACUACGUG